UACGUAGGGUGCGAGCGUUAAUCGGAAUUACUGGGCGUAAAGCGCGCGUAGGUGGUUUGUUAAGUUGGAUGUGAAAUCCCCCGGGCGUCAACCUGGGAACGUGCAUUAGUGACUGUAUAGCUAGAGUGCGGCAGAGGGGGGUAGGAAUUCCACGUGUAGCAGUGAAAUGCGUAGAUAUGUGGAGGAAUACCGAUGGCGAAGGCAGCCCCUCGGGAUAACACUGACGCUCAUGCACGAAAGCGUGGGGAGCAAAC
rnacentral:rRNA from 1 species